ACAACAUUUGGACCGUCAGUCUACCGAGCAAUAUCACCUGCUCGGUGGAAGAUCUUUGCUACGUAUA
rnacentral:pre_miRNA from 1 species